UUUGGUGGGAAUACAGGAAAGGGCCUUUUAGAUGUCUGCUACCAUGUUGAGGAACUCCCUCCCAAGAGAGACCAGGAUGACCUUCUGCAGGCAGCAUAAAUCAUGGCUCAGCAUGGAAAACUCUAACUUCACAACACACAAGUGAAAUGAAAUAACUACAGCUUCACAUAAUUCAUUCACAGCAACCCAAUGAUUGCAAUGUCAGAAGACAACAGUAGUACUUAACUUGUCUGUAUAGGAAGAUGGUCAUCUUUUAA
rnacentral:lncRNA from 11 species